GACGGCGAUCCUUGAGGUGCCUGUGGCAGCAUGCUAAACGAUUUCUUCCAAUGACACGCUUUUACGACCAUGCGAAUCAGCAUCACAUCAUUUGCUCCUUAAGAAGACGAUGCCAUCUGAGUUUCAGCAGAGCAGCAGGAUGGAAGCAUCUGCGGAACACCAUCUCGAAUGUCUGGCGACCACUACGCAAUAAGUUCUCGGGACCUGCCGUUGCAGCCUUAAAGCUAAGCUCAGAUCCUCCGAUGAUGGAUCAAAAUGGAACAUAAUUUUGCAGUGGACAGCGCUAUCCGGGCGGAGAGCUGAAAAGAAACGGACGGAGACACGCGCUUACCAACUCGCACAGCUCACCGUUCCUAUGAAAAGUGGUCGCUUGAGAAUCUUCGUUAAAAAUCACAAGCACAUUCGGUUCAUCCUGGUAUAUUAAAACGAUGAAAGCAUCACAUUUUAAUUGGUGUUACGUGUGCGAAUGGAGGUUUGGAGACGUGAGAAAGUCUUCGUUGUAGUCUCAGAAGU